ACUCGAAACUCGGGACUCGGAACCCGGGACCCGGGACUCAAGACUCGAGACUCCUGCGACAGGCAGCAGGACAGUAGCUCCCACACUCCCAGGUGGAAGAGAUCCUUGCAGGAGGCUGGCGGAGGAAGAUGGUGAAAGAGUGGGGCAAGGUGUACAAGGUUGUCAUAUGCUCCGCAAAUAUGUAAGGGUAUUCUACGUUCCGAUCAUUACGUGUCCUUCUAUUUCUUAUUGCCGCUCUUGUUGUUGCAACUUGAGUGAAGUUGGCAGAAACAACAAACUGCAAAAAAAAGAGGCGAAACAACCACAACAACAUUGGCAAUAACAACAAGCACAAGGACAACAACUUGGCCAGAAGAGCGGCAUUAAUGGUAGUGUGGGUGUGUGCCGAACGCAGUUUUCCAUUGCAUUUUUCGUCUACUUCGAACUUUUACCCAAAAAAAAAAGAAAAAACCACCAAAGCCACGUAGCGUUGGCCAUCUCUUUCGGCCAGCAUGUAGCUCUCUCUUUCGAUUGCUUACCCUAUUCGGUUGCAUUUUGUGCACUGUAAUCACGCAAUCAUGUUGCCCACUUCUGAACUCUUAAUGGCAAUCGGUGUAAACGUGCGCACAACUUUUCCAGCUUUACCCAGAUACCGUCCCAACAACUUUUCCACCCGCUUUUCCGCCCAAUUUUCCUAGUGCCCCGUUAUCCAACAACAAUGGGCUUACGACGGUUACUCGAUGCUCUCUUGGAAAUCCUGCUUCCCUCUCUUCCCCAUGUGCUGUUGCUGUUGUGAUGUUUGCCCCGUACACAUAGUUUUCCAGUGCAAAAACUUGGCAAUGUUCGGUAACAAUUUCUGCAUAAAUUACAGAGGACUGCAACAUUAGGAGGUUGUUUUGGUUCCUCAAGCGGAGGAGGUGCUCCAGAAUCAUUGCAAUUGCAGCUGGAUUACUUGAAGCAAACUUGUGUAAAUGGAAGUACUUGGGAUUACAGGGUAGAUGGACGUUUAGGGAUACACACAUAUGU